UGGAAAAGGAUGUGGGAUUUCGAAGACAGCUAGGAUGUUGGCUUAGAAGCAGCCACACAUUCAAAGAGUGCGUAAUAGCUCACUAGUCGAGAGGUCUUGCGCCGAAAAUGUCCGGGGCUAAAACACAACACCGAAGCUUAGGAAUGUAGCAAUACAUUGGUAGAGGAGCAUUUUUAUAGGCGUAGAAGCUGUACCGAUAAGGAGCAGUGGAGUAAUAAAAAGAGAGAAUGCCGGAAUGAGUAGCGAGAUGAAGGUGAGAAUCCUUCAGGCCGAAUAUCUAAGGUUUCCAGAGUAAAGCUGAUCUGCUCUGGGUAAGUCGGGACCUAAGGCAAGGUCGAAAGACGUAGUCGAUGGACAACAGGUUUAGAUUCCUGUACCGCUUAUUAUCAGAAAUGUGGGGACACAGAGACGUAUCCAAACCCAGGAAUGCAAAGACUGGGGCAAGCCAAGUACUGGUAUGGCAGGAAAAUCCGCCAUGCAACAGGAAUAGGUGAUGCGGACCGAAAUCAAGUAGGGAAGUUGGAGAAGGAGCUGUCAAGAAAAGCCGCUAUUGUAUAAUAAGUGCCCGUACCGUAAACCGACACAGGUGGAUGAGGAGAGAAUCCUAAGGCCGGCGGGAGAAGCAUUGUUAAGGAACUCGGCAAAAUGACCCCGUAACUUCGGGAGAAGGGGUGCCAUCCUCCGGGAUGGCCACAGAAAAUAGGCUCAAGCAACUGUUUAGCAAAAACACAGGUCUAUGCGAAACCGAAAGGUGAGGUAUAUGGGCUGACGCCUGCCCGGUGCUGGAAGGUUAAGAGGAGAAGUCAGGCAACGAAGCUUUGAAUUGAAGCCCCAGUAAACGGCGGCCGUAACUAUAACGGUCCUAAGGUAGCGAAAUUCCUUGUCGGGUAAGUUCCGACCCGCACGAAAGGCGUAAUGAUUUGAGCGCUGUCUCAACAAUGCACCCGGUGAAAUUGAAGUACCAGUGAAGAUGCUGGUUACCUGCGCCAGGACGGAAAGACCCCAUGGAGCUUUACUCUAGUUUGAUACUGGGAUUCGAUUAUACCUGUACAGGAUAGGUGGGAGGCGAAGAAGCAAGGACGCCAGUCUUUGCAGAGCCGCUGUUGGGAUACCACCCUUGUAUGAUUGGAUUUCUAACCUGCACCCGUGAUCCGGGUGGGGGACACUGUCAGAUGGGGAGUUUGACUGGGGCGGUCGCCUCCGAAAGGGUAUCGGAGGCGCUCAAAGGUUCCCUCAGAAUGGUCGGAAACCAUUCAAAGAGUGCAAAGGCAGAAGGGAGCUUGACUGCGACACCGACGGGUGGAGCAGGUACGAAAG
rnacentral:rRNA from 1 species